rnacentral:rRNA from 1 species
GAUGAACGCUGGCGGCGUGCCUAAUACAUGCAAGUCGAGCGAACGGACGAGAAGCUUGCUUCUCUGAUGUUAGCGGCGGACGGGUGAGUAACACGUGGAUAACCUACCUAUAAGACUGGGAUAACUUCGGGAAACCGGAGCUAAUACCGGAUAAUAUUUUGAACCGCAUGGUUCAAAAGUGAAAGACGGUCUUGCUGUCACUUAUAGAUGGAUCCGCGCUGCAUUAGCUAGUUGGUAAGGUAACGGCUUACCAAGGCAACGAUGCAUACACGACCUGAGAGGGUGAUCGGCCACACUGGAACUGAGACACGGUCCAGACUCCUACGGGAGGCAGCAGUAGGGAAUCUUCCGGAAUGGGCGAAAGCGUGACGGAGCAACGCCGCGUGAGUGAUGAAGGUCUUCGGAUCGUAAAACUCUGUUAUUAGGGAAGAACAUAUGUGUAAGUAACUGUGCACAUCUUGACGGUACCUAAUCAGAAAGCCACGGCUAACUACGUG